rnacentral:siRNA from 1 species
CUUGCAUAAUUUGGACUU